CUCAAAAAAAUAUUGCUCUUCUUCUUUGCUUUCUCUGUCUCAAAAAAAUGUCGAUAUUUUCCUUGAAUAAUACCGCUCCAAGGAACGGUUUGAAGGGAAAGACUCAAUGAAGCCUCCUCAUAAUCAGGAGGGCAAAUUCUGGCUGAAAACAAUUCAGGAUAACAGGAUGCGGACAAGACCAAACAAACGGAGACAGUUACUUUUUACAAGCUCCUCCUUUGUUAGUUUACUGAUAUAGUUUGGAUGAUCAUUGAAACUAUUGCAACUAUCGGCAAUGGAUUGUCCCUGCCCAUUAUGACAAUUCUUUUUGGAGAAUGGACCGACUCCUUCACACAAAAUCAAAAUAACAAAGAUGUGCUUGGGGUUUCAUUGAAAUUUGUCUACUUAGCUUUGGGAUGUGAGGCAGCUGCAUUUCUUUAGGUCCCUUGUUGGAUGAUCUCUGGUGAAAGACAGCCUUCUCGAAUUAAGGAGUCUAUCUGAAAACUAUUUUGCAGCAAGAUUUAGCUUUCUGUGAUAAGGAAACCAAUAUGGGAGAGGUGGUGGGGCGCAUGUCUGGUGACGCUGUUCUUAAACAAGACGCAAUGGGCGAGUAGGUAGGGAAAUUUGUACAGCUGAUAUCAACAUUCUUUGCGGGCUUUGUCAUUGCAUUUACUAAAGGCUGGCUUCUCACACUUGUUAUGUUAUCCAUCAUUCCUCUACUUGUCAUCUUUGCUGGAGUGAUGUCCCUCAUCCUAUCUAGGAUGGUGUCCCGUGGAUAAGAUGCUUAUGCCAAAGCAGCAACGGUGGUUGAACAGACAAUUGGCUC